CUCUGGCCGUCGAUUUCGCUCUCUUGUUGGUAUUUCCUAUUUGAACCACUUGAGGUGAGUAACAUACCUUACAUGUUCAGGACGUUCCAUUUUGUCUUGUGUGAUUGCAUCCCUCGCCUUCGACUCGAGCUGUAAACGCCACAAUUGACAAAAUAAAAAGUUCUAAACAAGGACAUAAUCUACUAUAGCUGUAGUGAACGACUUCCUUUCGUGUUCUAGUAGAAAUCGUUUUUUGUUUAAAU